rnacentral:misc_RNA from 1 species
AAAAAACCCUUUUAAUGCGAGCAAGAAAUACUAAUAAAAAUAACAAAGCAUAUUAAUUAAUCAAAUUAUAUCGAAAUUAAUAAACGAACAAUUAUCCAGUAAAAAUGGUUGAAAAUAUGUAAGAGAGCGGGGAAAAAACCACAAGUACGUACAUAUCUUAACCAAAGGCCAUAACCUUGUUAUGACCCUCAUAGAAGUAGGAUACGAAGAACUGAAAAGAAUUUCUACAAUUCAACCAUUUACACGAAGUCAUGAAUCAUGACUACACCCAAAUCAUCAAUUUUUCGCUUCCAAGAUCAUGAUGGUAAGUUUCAAGACUUGCUAAUGGUACCAGAGAUGAGGUAUCUAAUAAGAAAUACCAAGUUUAUUCAGCUCAACCACUACCACACUAAUGUUAUCUUUGCUACCCCGAGCAAUUGCUAGCUCCACUAGCACUGCUGCUGCCUCAGCUGCACGACCUUCACUCAAGACUUCUUGGUAUUUCCUUCUCAUCCGCCCUCUUAAACAUCUCCUCACAAUCUGGCAUGCAACUUCGUUGGAAAUGACAUCCCACAACCCAUCACUGGCUAAUAUCAAGAAUUCAUCAUUUUUAGUUCGUUUAUUCACGGUGACUUCAGGUUUGCAUAUUAUAAACGGUUUAAGAUACCGAUCACCUAUAGAUCUGGAAGUAGCAAGAACUCCUAGAACACGGUGUCCGUUCCAGUUGAUAAUUCUUCCUCCAGCAGCUUCAACUCUCUCCAAUUCAUCGGGUCUGUCAGGCUUAUGAUCAACGGACAAUGGCACAGCUACACCAGCCCUACAAAGCACAGCUCUGGAAUCCCCACAAUUGGCCACAACCACCUCAUCUUUGCCGACCACCGCCACCACAGCCGUGGACCCCAUCAUCUUAUCUUUCUCUACUUCCUCAUCCAUCCUCCGAAAACACCCUUCCAUCACCUUGUCCCACUCUAUUCCCAUUCCUGCUCUACCCUCCACUAUCUCCUCCUCAAGCACUCUGUGCAACCUCUCCCUGCACGCCUCCGACACGCGAGCCCCACCGUGGCCAUCAUAAACACCAAAAAAGUCGUACUUUUCGCCUCCUUUGCACGUAAAACCUAAUUCUACUCUCACUGCAUCCUCCAUCUCUCUCCUCCUCCCUAUCACCGAAACGGAUCCAUAUGAUACACGCUUAAAACCCUGCAAAUCGUCGCUUUUCUUGAAUUCAUUUUCUUCGAAACUAGAUAUAACGACUUCGUUUUUAGAGGGAGCGUUAUCUGACGAGGAUGUUAAUGAUAACGCGAUCUCCGCCGAACAAUCACUCGCUUUUGUUUCGUGAACAGAGUCGGUAGAUUCUGUCUUCUGAUCGCCGGGGAUAGUGACAUACGUCUUCGUUUUACAUGUGUACUUGAGCCGCCGGAUUUUUAACCUUCUCCGGCGAGAAUUGAUGGUCUUGAUGACGGUGAGUUGAUUCAUUCCACCGAAUAGGCCGUCAGUCGCCAGAGAGCACAAAACAAAAGUUGAAAAAAAUCUGGGUAUCUACUUGUUCAUCUGCAUGUAGAAAUCAUAAGAAAAAAGACAGAAGGUGGGAAGUAGAAAGCGAAAGGCAAUAGCGAAUAGCUGUCGAUAUAAAUAGAAA